rnacentral:rRNA from 1 species
GACGAACGCUGGCGGCGUGCUUAACACAUGCAAGUCGAACGAUGAAGCUAGAGCUUGCUCAGGUGAAUUAGUGGCGAACGGGUGAGUAACACGUGAGUAACCUGCCCCGAACUCUGGGAUAACUGCUGGAAACGGUAGCUAAUACUGGAUACGACCUACGAAGGCAUCUUCUGUAGGUGGAAAGAAUUUCGGUUCGGGAUGGACUCGCGGCCUAUCAGCUUGUGGUGAGGUAAUGGCUCACCAAGGCGACGACGGGUAGCCGGCCUGAGAGGGUGACCGGCCACACUGGGACUGAGACACGGCCCAGACUCCUACGAGAGGCAGCAGUGGGGAAUAUUGCACAAUGGGCGCAAGCCUGAUGCAGCAACGCCGCGUGAGGGAUGACGGCC